rnacentral:ncRNA from 1 species
AUCGUACCCCAAACCGACACAGGUGGUCAGGUAGAGAAUACCAAGGCGCUUGAGAGAACUCGGGUGAAGGAACUAGGCAAAAUGGUGCCGUAACUUCGGGAGAAGGCACGCUGGCAUGUAGGUGAAGUCCCUCGCGGAUGGAGCUGAAGCCAGUCGAAGAUACCAGCUGGCUGCAACUGUUUAAUAAAAACACAGCACUGUGCAAACACGAAAGUGGACGUAUACGGUGUGACGCCUGCCCGGUGCUGGAAGGUUAAUUGAUGGGGUCAGCCGCAAGGCGAAGCUCUUGAUCGAAGCCCCAGUAAACGGCGGCCGUAACUAUAACGGUCCUAAGGUAGCGAAAUUCCUUGUCGGGUAAGUUCCGACCUGCACGAAUGGCGUAAUGAUGGCCAGGCUGUCUCCACCCGAGACUCAGUGAAAUUGAACUCGCUGUGAAGAUGCAGUGUACCCGCGGCAAGACGGAAAGACCCCGUGAACCUUUACUAUAGCUUGACACUGAACAUUGAGCCUUGAUGUGUAGGAUAGGUGGGAGGCUUUGAAGCGUGGACGCCAGUCUGCGUGGAGCCAUCCUUGAAAUACCACCCUUUAAUGUUUGAUGUUCUAACUCGGCCCCAUAAUCUGGGGUGAGGACAGUGUCUGGUGGGUAGUUUGACUGGGGCGGUCUCCUCCCAAAGAGUAACGGAGGAGCACGAAGGUUAGCUAAUCACGGUCGGACAUCGUGAGGUUAGUGCAAAGGCAUAAGCUAGCUUGACUGCGAGAGUGACGGCUCGAGCAGGUACGAAAGUAGGUCUUAGUGAUCCGGUGGUUCUGAAUGGAAGGGCCAUCGCUCAACGGAUAAAAGGUACUCCGGGGAUAACAGGCUGAUACCGCCCAAGAGUUCAUAUCGACGGCGGUGUUUGGCACCUCGAUGUCGGCUCAUCACAUCCUGGGGCUGAAGUAGGUCCCAAGGGUAUGGCUGUUCGCCAUUUAAAGUGGUACGCGAGCUGGGUUUAGAACGUCGUGAGACAGUUCGGUCCCUAUCUGCCGUGGGCGUUGGAAGAUUGAGAGGGGUUGCUCCUAGUACGAGAGGACCGGAGUGAACGCACCACUGGUGUUCGGGUUGUCAUGCCAAUGGCAUUGCCCGGUAGCUAAGUGCGGAAAAGAUAAGCGCUGAAAGCAUCUAAGCGCGAAACUUGCCUCAAGAUGAGUCUUCCCUGGG